UAUUACACGGAUGAUGGUUAAAGGGACGCAUUCAAAAUCGAGACCUAGAUCAACAAAUGCCUCUGGAAGUAUGUUGUUGCCUACAAAUGUUAGUGCAUUUGCUGAUCUAUCCAUUAAACCACAUAUGCAAUAGGUCAAUAAUGAUGUGCCUUUUGAGCCACUUUCUUUGUUGGGUGCAUCUGCAGAGCAAGUAGAAAAUGAGACAUUUACUCACGAUUCUUGUAAAUCACCAUCUAUUGAUUUAGGUGCAAGUGUAGAUAAUACAUCCUCAAGGUCAAAGAGUAGGGGGCUUGGUGUAGGAUUAUAGACUCCUGUAGAUCCAUUCGACAGAUUGUGUAUAACUCCUAUUGGGGAGAGGAAAAAUGUGUUUGGCUUGCAAAUCAAGAUGUUUUGGCUCAACAAAUAUGGGAUAAAAUUUGUUCUGAUCGAUUAAGAGACAUGCUUUAAGAAAAAAGGAAUAAAGUAAUGACAGAAGCCAAAACAAAGAACAUUAGGGAUUGCAAAGGCAUGUCAAGGGAAUGGAUCACAAAUGAAAUUUGGGAUGCCCUUAUCGAUAUGGUAUGGGGUACAGAAGAAUGGCAAAACAAAUCAAGAAAAGCAAGGCAAAAUCGUUUAACGUCAAAAGAAGGAAGCAUUCCAAAGCACAUUGACAGUUCAGUUCCAUUUGUUGUUCAUGCAAAAAGGAUGGAAAUGUAUAAUUUUGUAUUAUCGCAGAAGUAUGGUAAGUAUUCAUCUUCUCAGCUAGAAUAAGAUCUGCAUGCUUGGACUGAAGCAAUUGCAGGGAUGGAGACUACACGCACUCAGGUUUAUGGGUUUGGUACUCGAGUGCUUGUUACAACUUUACGUAGUGGAACACACAACAAUGUAGCAACAGCUGAGUCUGCAUGUGGCCCUAUCAAUUCAAACGCUACCAGUCCCGCAAUUGCAUUAGAAGAAAAAGUGAAAAAUCUUUCAAAAAACUUGGGUAAGAUAUGUGAGGAAAUACGUGAGAAAAUACAUGAAGAAAUUAAGAAUGCAAUGACGGAAGCAUGAGUGAAUUUAUUUCAUGUAUGAAAAUCAUGAUCAUGACUAAUACACUUUCAAAACAAGGAAAUGCGUGACCUUCAAGCUCAAAUCUUGACAAGUAAGAACACAACAUUUCAUGAUAUGAUGUCUCUUUUUCACUGUUACACUUGGAUACUUUUUAGUA